rnacentral:rRNA from 1 species
UUUCGAAUCAUUCACAAUGGGCGAAAGCCUGAUGGUGCGACGCCGCGUGGGGGACGAAGGUCUUCGGAUUGUAAACCCCUGUCACCGGGGAAGAAACGCUUCAUUUUAACAGAAUGAAGCCUGACUUAACCCGGAGAGGAAGCAGUGGCUAACUCUGUGCCAGCAGCCGCGGUAAUACAGAGACUGCAAGCGUUAUUCGGAUUCACUGGGCGUAAAGGGUGCGCAGGCGGUCGCGUGUGUCAGGUGUGAAAGCCCGAGGCUUAACC